rnacentral:miRNA from 1 species
CAGGAAAACGGGUUUGUUUUCCUGGCACUAUAGGAUCCCUUAAAGGACCACUAUAGUGCCAGGAAAACAUACUCGUUUUCCUGGCACUAU